AUCAGGCUGACGAGUCCCAAGUCGGACGAAAUGCGCAUCCUGGAU
rnacentral:hammerhead_ribozyme from 1 species